ensembl:snoRNA
GAUAUGUAUUGUUUCAAUAUGACUCUGGUCUGGGUUGGUGGUGCCCUCGAACAUACUAGACUUGCAGGAAAAACAUCCUCUUCAGACAUGACUGCCGCAGCUCUAGUGAUUUAUGCGCAAUUUUCCUGUUAGCUCCUGGCACAGUUGCCACAGCAAUAGUGACUGGGUAGUGUCAUUGUCCAUCUGUAACAGUAAGGAGUGCCCUGCAACUCGGUUAUUUAACUGACAGGGAGGUUUCUGCUGGACUCUAAGUACUACUACAAAU